GGCCUCUCUUCCAUGGGCUGCAAGGCGUUUCUUUUCUUCUCAGUCAGAGCUGAAGGCCAAGAUCACCCUUGAGGAUCAUUGCCAGGGCUGCCACGAGCUGGGAAGCCUUGUUUUCCCACCUCAGACAUUU